AACGAACGCUGGCGGCAUGCCUAACACAUGCAAGUCGAACGAGACCUUCGGGUCUAGUGGCGCACGGGUGCGUAACGCGUGGGAAUCUACCCUUGGGUUCGGAAUAACAGUUAGAACUGACUGCUAAUACCGGAUGAUGACGUAAGUCCAAAGAUUUAUCGCCCAAGGAUGAGCCCGCGUAAGAUUAGCUUGUUGGUGGGGUAAUGGCCUACCAAGGCGACGAUCUUUAGCUGGUCUGAGAGGAUGAUCAGCCACACUGGGACUGAGACACGGCCCAGACUCCUACGGGAGGCAGCAGUCGAGAAUAUUUCGCAAUGGGGGAAAGCCUGAUCCAGCAAGGCCGCGUGAGUGAUGAAGGCCUUAGGGUUGUAAAGCUCUUUUACCAGGGAUGAUAAUGACAGUACCUGGAGAAUAAGCUCCGGCUAACUCCGUGCCAGCCGCCGCGGUAA
rnacentral:rRNA from 1 species